GGCAAUAAAAAUAACUGACACUCUCCAGAAUUUUUAUUACAUGUCAUGUGACGCAUGUCAUAAAAAAAUAGAUUUAUACAAUCGCGAUGAAAAAAUCAUAUGUGACAAGCCAACAUGCGGCCAAGAAGGAUUUCCUACACCACGUGCUAUAGCAUAUGUUGAACUUGAUGACAAUACAAAGAGCCUAUCUGCUGUCAUGUUCGCAGAUAUUGUCGAAAAAAUAUUUUCGUGUAAUGCUGCCCAACUAAUGAACUAUACUGCAGAGGAACACCGCCGCUUUGUCGACACUACCAUAAUCAAUUUAUCAAAGAAAAAAUGGAUAAUCCAGAUAUAUGCGGACCCGGCUAGAAUGAAAAGUGCAAAAUACAAAAAUUACACUAUUGUCUCUAUCAAAGAAAAUGAAGAUUGAAAUCCACCAAUGACUAUCAUUAGUUUUCUUAUCUACAAUUUUAAGACUAAUGCUAUCUUCAAUUAUCAACAAUUUAGAGAUUGAUUUUUAAUUUUCUUUUUAUCUUACCCCCAUUUAAGUAAUAUUUCUUUAAGUAUUGGAACAUCAAUUUUUAGUUUAUUUUUGGAUUAACUUAAGAACAUAUUUAAAUCAUUAAGCUUUCUUAAACACUAAUAUAUUGCAUUCAGUAUUCAAUAAUAAUCUCACUUUCAAAUAACAUAAAAAAAAUCUAGCAUAAAAUUUAAUA